AAGAAAACAGGAGAAAGGUGCUUAAUUGCCACUUCCUGCUCGAGAAACACGUUCCCAGGAGCAGUCUACUCCAGCAGGUUCCUGAGGCUGUACAGGUGGAGCCCUCCUUGAAUGCCUCAUCUAGUAGUGCCAAGUACAUAUUUCGGCAAUCUAAGCCCAAAGUGCCCCAACAUUUUCAGAAAGAUUCAGAGCCAGAGCCUCUUUUGCAAAAACAACCAAAUUAGUUUAAAGCUAGAGGCUAUGCUGACCUAGAAGAAAGACAGCCAAUAUUCAUUUCGCAGCUGGAAUACACAUCUAAUUCAAAGCCAAAAGGUUAUAGCCCCAUCCACAAAGGGGUUUAACCAUUGCAUCCUAGCUCUUACAGGAAGGAUGCUCCUUGAGUCUGUGACUACAAUUUGCUAACAGCAUGGAGCUUCCCCCUUCCUUAGAGAAAUGUCCUUGGGUCCUAGGACAGUAUGCCCCCUCAUACCCUGGGAGAAGACUCCUGAAAAUGAAUGAUUGACAUAGGGCUGCAGAAGGCUGGCCCCUUGCCUGACGAUGGGGCUAACUCUGUGGCAUAAUUCAUGCUCCAGAGAUUCUGUAGGAUCAGGGUGAAGUUAGUUUUCAGUGGAGAGCAUAUCCUUAGCUUUUUCCCUACUUCCUAUCCUGGUCCUCACAUUCCCUUUCUCUUGAGAAUAAGCCCUUCAAUAAAUUAUUUGCACAAGCUUCUCCAUAUCAGACUGUUUCUAAGGGAUCCAAUCAUGUUUCAAACACUAAUUUUUUUCUUGGGAGCCUAUCAAAGAGUCAUGGUUAAAAAUAAGAACUGCUGGGUCAGACAGAUCUGAGCUUACAUCCAAACUCCAUCACUGACUGGUUGUGUGACCUCAGGAAUGUUUCCUUACCUCUCUAAGUAUCAUUUUUCCCAUGGGGUAAAACCAGAUAAAUCGAUCUAACUCAAAGUACUGUUGUAAGGGUAACAGUUUGAAAAGAGCUUGACUUUUGAAAUUCUCUGUUAGACUGCCUUUUAUACAAUACUAUUGCUCAGUAAAUAUUUGUUCAUCUAUAGAUUUAAUAAAUUAUUAUCAUUUGCUUU
ensembl:lncRNA